rnacentral:rRNA from 1 species
AUUGAACGCUGGCGGCAUGCUUUACACAUGCAAGUCGAACGGCAGCGGGGGCUUCGGCCUGCCGGCGAGUGGCGAACGGGUGAGUAAUGCAUCGGAACGUGCCCAUGUCGUGGGGGAUAACGUAUCGAAAGGUACGCUAAUACCGCAUACGUCCUGAGGGAGAAAGCGGGGGAUCGCAAGACCUCGCGCGAUUGGAGCGGCCGAUGUCGGAUUAGCUAGUAGGUGAGGUAAAGGCUCACCUAGGCGACGAUCCGUAGCGGGUCUGAGAGGAUGAUCCGCCACACUGGGACUGAGACACGGCCCAG